rnacentral:rRNA from 1 species
AUUGAACGCUAGCGGGAUGCCUUACACAUGCAAGUCGAACGGCAGCACGGACUUCGGUCUGGUGGCGAGUGGCGAACGGGUGAGUAAUGUAUCGGAACGUGCCCAGUAGCGGGGGAUAACUACGCGAAAGCGUAGCUAAUACCGCAUACGCCCUACGGGGGAAAGCAGGGGAUCGCAAGACCUUGCACUAUUGGAGCGGCCGAUAUCGGAUUAGCUAGUUGGUGGGGUAACGGCUCACCAAGGCGACGAUCCAUAGCUGGUUUGAGAGGACGACCAGCCACACUGGGACUGAGACACGGCCCAGACUCCUACGGGAGGCAGCAGUGGGGAAUUUUGGACAAUGGGGGAAACCCUGAUCCAGCCAUCCCGCGUGUGCGAUGAAGGCCUUCGGGUUGUAAAGCACUUUUGGCAGGAAAGAAACGUCGCGGGUUAAUACCUCGCGAAACUGACGGUACCUGCAGAAUAAGCACCGGCUAACUACGUG